ACGCACGCUGGCGGCGUGCUUCACCCAUGCCAGUCGAACGGUGAAGCGCCUUCCUUUUUGGUGGGUGUGGAUGAGUGGCGAACGGGUGAGUAACACGUGAGUAACCUGCCCCCUUCUUCUGGAUAACCGCAUGAAAGUGUGGCUAAUACGGGAUAUUCUGGGUCUGUCGCAUGAUGGGUCUGGGAAAGAUAUUGUUUCGGUGGGGGAUGGGCUCGCGGCCUAUCAGCUUGUUGGUGGGGUGAUGGCCUACCAAGGCGGUGACGGGUAGCCGGCCUGAGAGGGUGGACGGUCACACUGGGACUGAGACACGGCCCAGACUCCUACGGGAGGCAGCAGUGGGGAAUAUUGCACAAUGGGCGCAAGCCUGAUGCAGCGACGCCGCGUGAGGGAUGGAGGCCUUCGGGUUGUGAACCUCUUUCGCCAGUGAAGCAGGCCUGCCUCGUUUGUGGGUGGGUUGACGGUAGCUGGAGAAGAAGCGCCGGCUAACUACGUG
rnacentral:rRNA from 1 species